UCUUUAUAAUAAAUUUAUUUUAAUAAAUUAUUUUAUUUAAAUUAAUAGUUUUAAUAAUAAAUUAUUUUAUUGGGGUGAUACAAAAAUUUAAUUAACUUUUUUAUUAAUACUUCUUAAAUUAAAGAUUUAUAAAAAUAUGAUCUACUAUUAGUAAUUCAGAGAAUAAGA
rnacentral:rRNA from 1 species